AUUUCACCAGACUAUCUAGGAAAUAUUGAACUAAUACAAAUUUUAGUUCAAUAUACCGGAUGGUCUGGUGAAAGCAA
ensembl:miRNA mir-4813 ncRNA